rnacentral:sRNA from 1 species
GCUGGGCUUGGUGGUACACACCUAUAGUCUCAGCUUCUCAGGAGACUGAGAAAGGAGGAUCGCUUGAGCCCAUGAGUUCAAGACCAGCCUGGGCAACAUAGUGAGAUCCCCAUCUCAA